AGUAGCAUAUCAAUAAGCGGAGGAAAAGAAACUAACAAGGAUUCCCCUAGUAACUGCGAGUGAAGCGGGAAGAGCUCAAAUUUAAAAUCUGACAGCCUUUGGCUGUCCGAGUUGUAAUCUAGAGAAGUGUUAUCCGCGCUGGACCGUGUACAAGUCUCCUGGAAUGGAACAUCAUAGAGGGUGAGAAUCCCGUCUUUGACACGGACUUCCAGGGCUUUUGUGAUACGCUCUCAAAGAGUCGAGUUGUUUGGGAAUGCAGCUCUAAAUGGGUGGUAAAUUCCAUCUAAAGCUAAAUAUUGGCGAGAGACCGAUAGCGAACAAGUACCGUGAGGGAAAGAUGAAAAGAACUUUGGAAAGAGAGUUAAACAGUACGUGAAAUUGUUGAAAGGGAAACGCUUGAAGUCAGUCGCAUUGACUAGGGAUCAACCUUGCUUUUUUGCUUGGUGUACUUCCUAGUUGAUGGGCCAGCAUCAAUUUUGACCAGUGGAUAAAGGUCAAAGGAAUGUGGCAUCUCUGGAUGUGUUAUAGCCUUUGAUUGUAUACAUUGGUUGGGAUUGAGGAACUCAGCACGCCGCAAGGCCGGGUUUCGACCACGAUCGUGCUUAGGAUGCUGGCAUAAUGGCUUUAAUCGACCCGUCUUGAAACACGGACCAAGGAGUCUAACAUGCCUGCGAGUAUUUGGGUGGCAAACCCAUGUGCGUAAUGAAAGUGAAGAUCAGGAUCUCUGUCAUGGAGAGCACUGAUGCCCGGACCAGACCUUUUGUGACGGAUCUGCGGUAGAGCAUGCAUGUUGGGACCCGAAAGAUGGUGAACUAUGCCUGAAUAGGGUGAAGCCAGAGGAAACUCUGGUGGAGGCUCGUAGCGAUUCUGACGUGCAAAUCGAUCGUCAAAUUUGGGUAUAGGGGCGAAAGACUAAUCGAACCAUCUAGUAGCUGGUUCUGCGUCU
rnacentral:rRNA from 1 species